UCUAGUGAUGAUGGCAAGGAGGUCACACCUGUUCCCAUACCGAACACAGAAGUUAAGCUCCUUAGNCCUGUCCCCGCAACCAAAAGGUCCAGUGGUGUAGCGGUUAACAUGCCUGCCUGUCACGCAGGAGAUCGCGGGUU
rnacentral:rRNA from 1 species